rnacentral:rRNA from 1 species
GGGGAAUCUUGCGCAAUGGGCGAAAGCCUGACGCAGCCAUGCCGCGUGAAUGAUGAAGGUCUUAGGAUUGUAAAAUUCUUUCAGUAGGGACGAUAAUGACGGUACCUACAGAAGAAGCCCCGGCUAACUUCGUGCCAGCAGCCGCGGUAAUACGAAGGGGGCUAGCGUUGCUCGGAAUUACUGGGCGUAAAGGGAGCGUAGGCGGACAUUUAAGUCAGGGGUGAAAUCCCGGGGCUCAACCUCGGAAUUGCCUUUGAUACUGGGUGUCUUGAGUAUGAGAGAGGUAUGUGGAACUCCGAGUGUAGAGGUGAAAUUCGUAGAUAUUCGGAAGAACACCAGUGGCGAAGGCGACAUACUGGCUCAUUACUGACGCUGAGGCUCGAAAGCGUGGGGAGCAAACAGGAUUAGAUACCCUGGUAGUCCACGCCGUAAACGAUGAUUGCU